rnacentral:misc_RNA from 1 species
GCUAAAUCUAGCCUUGCUUACCUCUGAUAUGUGGGCUGUUGUAAUUCGGAUCUUUGUAUACCAUCAGAAGGUUGACUGGAUAUAUUUUGUAGCUUUUGCUGCUGUUGCUGUGGGUCUUCUUAUUUAUUCUGGGCGGGAUAAGGUGGAUAAGAACGUAGCUGAUGAAGGCAUUGUAAGAAGCAAGCGAUUUGACGAGGAAACUGGCCUAGAUAAUCCUGCACGAAAAGAUGCCAUUGAGAGCUCAAGAACUGAAGAAAACAGGCAAAGUUUUGACGCCGAAACAGUGCCUGGAAUAUACGGAAGAUAAAUUUAUUGUAGUUUUGAGACUUUU